rnacentral:rRNA from 1 species
UACAGGGGGUGCAAACGUUGCUCGGAAUUAUUGGGCGUAAAGCGCGCGUAGGCGGCUACCUAAGUCGGAUGUGAAAGCCCCUGGCUUAACUGGGGAAGUGCACCCGAAACUGAGUAGCUAGAGUGCGAAAGAGGGUCGCGGAAUUCCCGGUGUAGAGGUGAAAUUCGUAGAUAUCGGGAGGAACACCGGUGGCGAAGGCGGCGACCUGGGUCGACACUGACGCUGAGGCGCGAAAGCGUGGGGAGCAAACAGG